UACGGGGGGGCAAGCGUUGUUCGGAAUUACUGGGCGUAAAGGGUUCGUAGGUGGCUUGCUUAGUCAGACGUGAAAUCCCUCAGCUUAACUGGGGAACUGCGUCUGAUACUGGCGAGCUUGAGUGCAGGAGAGGAACGCGGAAUUCCAGGUGUAGCGGUGAAUGACGUAGAUAUCUGGAGGAACACCGGUGGCGAAGGCGGCAGUCCGUGGACCGACGACUGACGCUGAGGAGCGAAAGCCAGGGAGC
rnacentral:rRNA from 1 species